CAUUGAUGGGAGAGACACCCCAUGGCUCAGAUUUAUGAAAAUAUGCAUCAGAUUUGAAAUCGCUUACCUGAAAUGAGUAUACCAUUAUAUCAGAGCUGUAAGUGAGAAACAUGUUAUUUUUCUUCUUUUACCAGUGAAACAAGUUUUUGUUUUUUUUUUCAGACAUAUCCUUGUAAUUUCUUUUUUUUGCAGUUCUUUCAAGUCGUUCUCUGGAAAAUUUCCUGAAAUUGCCAAGAAUCUGCCACUUUCAAUAAUAUCGACUCUGAAAGAGAGAGAGAGAGGCUAGGAGAGACCGUGGGGGACAGAAGUGUUGAUUGCUGCCCAUGGCCAUGCUGGUUUCUUUUCUUCCCCUGUGUAAAGACUGCUGGCUUGGUAUCUCUGGACUCUAGUUUAUGAAGUGAGAUGGUCGGAAGCAGGACAGAAAUUGAAUAUACCAAUCAGGAAGGAGGAGCUAUUUAAUAGUAGCAACUUUGGAACACUGAAACUAACAGAAUGUCCUCAAGGAAGUUCAACUCAAUUGCCUUCCUCUGAAAAAGACGCUGAACUACGUGAUUGUUCGAUGGUCCUGGAAAGAAAUAUCUGUUUCAUUUGAAGUUUCCAUUUUACCUUUGAAACCUAGGUUUGAUGGUGUGAGAAAUGCUUGCCUUCCUUUCUUUCUCCCUGGUUGAGUUACAGAGAAUCAUUAGGUACUCAUUAGACUAAUGUGAAGGCAGAUAACACCGGUUAUGGAGCCCAUGACUCAUUUUUAAAUUUUACCAGUUCUCUUUCACUUACUGCCUAAAUUGCAGGCUUUCUUGUGACAGGUAGCUCUGAAAUAGUAGAUAUCAAAAUUUAUGACUUAAAAAAGUUAAGGUGCUUAUCUUUAGAAAAUUCCUGGUAUGAGCCAAUUACCAACCUCUUUACUUUCGUGUGUGUUUGUGUGUGUGCUCAGCCUCUUAGUUGU
ensembl:lncRNA